rnacentral:rRNA from 1 species
UUUUAUGGUAGGAAAGGGCCCGGGGUGGAUGCCUGGGCGGCCGGAGGCGAUGAAGGGCGUGGCAAGCUGCGAUAAGCCCGGGGGAGGCGCAAGCAGCCUGUGAUCCCGGGAUGCCCGAAUGGGGAAACCCACCGAGGGGAAACCCUCGGUAUCCUCUGGGCAAAACCCAGAGGAGGCGAUACCCCCCGAAGUGAAACAUCUCAGUAGGGGGAGGAAAAGAAAUCAACCGAGAUUCCCCGAGUAGCGGCGAGCGAAAGGGGAGGAGCCUAAACCUUGUGGGUGCAAAAGCCCGCCGGCGUUGCCCACAAGGGGUCGCGGGAUACACCCGGAGGGAGCGGCGGAUCCCUCAGGGAGUUACAAAAUCUGGGGAUAGCCGAAGAGGUCUGGAAAGGCCCGCCAUAGAGGGUGAUAGCCCCGUAGGCGAAAUCCCCAGAUCUCCCGGGGGUGUAUUCCCGAGUACCACGGCCCACGUGAAAGGUCGUGGGAAUCUGGGGGGACCACCCUCCAAGGCUAAAUACUACCGGCCGACCGAUAGCGCACUAGUACCGUGAGGGAAAGGUGAAAAGAACCCCGGAGAGGGGAGUGAAAGAGAACCUGAAACCCCGGGUCUACGGACUGCGGAAGGGCUAUCCCCGAAAGGGGAAGCGCGCCCGACCGCGUGCCUUUUGCGUAAUGAGCCGGCGAGUUGCCGUCAGUGGCAAGGUUAAGGCCCUCUGGGCCGGAGCCGUAGGGAAACCGAGUCCGAACAGGGCGACAAAGUCGCUGGCGGCAGACCCGAAGCGCCACGAUCUACCCAUGCCCAGGGUGAAGGACGGGUAAAACCGUCCGGAGGCCCGAACGGGUCAGGGUUGAAAACCUGUCCGAUGAGGUGUGGGUAGGAGUGAAAAGCUAAUCGAGUGGCGGUAUAGCUGGUUCCCCCCGAAAUGCAUCUAAGUGCAGCCUCACGAAAUGCACCGUGGGGGUAGAGCCACCGCUUAGGCUACCGGGAGGGAAACCUUCCGGAACCUAGGCGAACUCCGAAUACCACGGUGCAGUAGUGGGAGUGAGUGGCCCGGGGAUAAGCUCGGGUCACGAGAGGGGAACAACCCAGACCCUCGGCUAAGGCCCCUAAAUCCGGGCUAAGUGAGGAAGGAUGUCUACCCGCUAAGACAGCUGGGAUGUUGGCUUAGAAGCAGCCAUCAUUUAAAGAGUGCGUAACAGCUCACCAGCCGAGCGGGUAGGCGCCGAAAAUGUAACGGGACUCAAGCCCGGUGCCGAAGCCAGGGGUCAGGAUGUGCUGCGGCACAUCCUGGCGGUAGGGGGGCGUUCCAGGUCCGUUGAAGCUCGACCGAAAGGACGGGUGGAGGGCCUGGAAGUGAGAAUGCCGGCAUGAGUAACGAGAGGGAGGUGAGAAUCCUCCCGCCCGUAAGCCCAAGGUUUCCUGCUCAACGCCCAUCGGAGCAGGGUUAGCCGGGACCCUAAGGUGAGGCCGAAAGGCGUAGCCGAUGGGAAAGUGGGUUCAACAUUCCCCGCCACUCUGGAGCGCUAAAGCAGCGCUGUGACGGCUCCGUAGGGUGCGGUGGGUUGAAGGAUUGCCCGCCGCUAUCUGAAAGGGGUCCAAGAAAGAACAGGCUGCUUUGCUCCAGAGUGCCCGUACCGCAAACCGACACAGGUGGGCUCCGGGCCAAGCCCGGGAGGGUAGCGGGUGAAACCCCCCUAAGGAACUCGGCAAAUUGGCCCCGUAACUUCGGGAGAAGGGGCGCCCAUCCCGUGCAAGCGGGAAUGGGUCGCAGGAAAUUGGCGGUGGGGACUGUUUACUAAAAACACAGGUCUCUGCCAACCCGAAAGGGGACGUAUAGGGACUGAGGCCUGCCCGGUGCCCGAAGGUGAAGGUAAGGGGUUAGCCGCAAGGCGAAGCUCCGAGCCUAAGCCCGGGUAAACGGAGGCCGUAACUCUGACGGUCCUAAGGUAGCGUAAUCCCUUGCCGGGUAAGUUCCGGCCUGCAUGAAUGGCUUAACCACUGCCGCUCUGUCUCAGGGGGGUGCCCGGUGAAAAUGUAGUGGGGGUGAAGAUGCCCCCGACCCGCGGCAGGACGGAAAGACCCCGUGCAGCUUUACUGCAGUCUGGCGCUGAACUCCGGGAGACCCUGCGCAGGAUAGGUGGGAGCCUGAGAAGUCCCCGCUCCGGCGGGGAUGGAGGCGCCGGUGAGAUACCACCCUGGAUCUCUUGGAGUUCUAACCCCGCCCGUCAACCCGGACGGGGGACACCGCCAGGCGGGCAGUUUUCCUGGGGCGGGAUCUCCCGAAAAAGUAUCGGGAGAGCGCAAAGGUGCCCUCAGCCGGGAUGGAAAUCCGGCCUUGAGUGCAAGGGCAUAAGGGCGCCUGACUGCGAGGGGGACACCCCGAGCAGACGCGAAAGCGGGCCCUAGUGACCCGGCGGUCCCAUGUGGGAGGGCCGUCGAUCAGCGGAUAAAAGCUACGCCGGGGAUAACAGACUAAUUUCCCCCGAGAGUUCACAUCGACGGGGGAGUUUGGUACCUCGAUGUCGGCUCACCCCAUCCUGGGGCUGAAGAAGGUCCCAAGGGUCGGGCUGUUCGCCCGUUAAAGGGGUACGCGAGCUGGGUUUAAACCGUCGUGAGACAGGUUGGUCCUUAUCCGCCGCGGGCGCAGGAGGACUGAGGGGAGCUGGUCCUAGUACGAGAGGACCGGACUGGGGCAGCCUCUGGUGUACCGGUUGUCCCUCCAGGGGCAUCACGCCGGGUAGCCAUGCUGCCACGGGAUAACCGCUGAAGGCAUCUAAGCGGGAAGCCCACCCCAAGAUAAGUCCUCCCUGAAGGGCCCUCGGAGACUACGAGGUUGAUAGGCCCGAGGUGUAAGCGCCGCAAGGCGUUGAGCCGACGGGUACUAAUCGCCCGUUCGCCAUAAAAAC